UCUCUCCCAAACCCUCUUUGAAACUCCUACAAACCCUAGCCACGACCAUCAAACUACCACCAUAAUCAACCCUAAUUCAUCGCUUUCCAGAGUCAUCUAAGACCUGUAUCAGCCUUCUAUGGCCUCUACGUGUCUGGUUCUAUGGUAUCGUGACUAGACUUCGAAAGGACUUGGUCCACUCUUGGAUCAAUGACCUUUCUCCCGUCAUCUCUGACCUUUCUCCGGCCAGCCAUGGCCAUUCGAGUCACACCUUUGACUCUCUUGUUUAGAUCUGUGACUUUCAAAGCUUUUCUCACUGC
rnacentral:lncRNA from 1 species